rnacentral:lncRNA from 1 species
GACUGGGCUGAGCUAUAGCCCAUUCCCCCCUAUAUACGUCCCUGAUUUCUUUACUUCAAUUUAUUCUCUACUCCUCACUAAUAGCGAUUAAUUGAAAGAAGAAAUGUUAGAGUUCGGGUGAACUGAAAUCUGUUGGGAGUUUUAUUAGGAGUUAGUAGUUUGCCUUGAAUAAAUCUUGAAGGAAUCAAAGACGGAUAAGGAGAAAAACAUAUCACAUGAAGACUGCUCCCCAGCCACGCAGGUGGGACUUGAGUAGAAAUUGUAGUAACUCCACUGCUCGCUAACAGCAUGCCAGGCGAUCAAGCAAUGGAUGGACUGCUCAUUAGCUGCCGCUAUCUGAUGCAAACUCUAGUCACGAUUUAGACAGAUUUUGCACUCCUAAACAAUCUCAAACUCUCUAUUAUUUGCCAGGGCUGUUAAACUAGGACUUCACCAUAUGUUAGGCUCUUAUUUGUAUUGUAUGUAUUAGGAGUAAUUCUGAAGAUCAUCCAAUAAUCUUUGUAAUCAUCCUUCAAUUUGUUAUAGUGAAUUUCUUCUCCUUUGCCCAUGGUUAUUUUCAC